rnacentral:rRNA from 1 species
GACGAACGCUGGCGGCGUGCUUAACACAUGCAAGUCGAGCGGUAAGGCCCUUUCGGGGGUACACGAGCGGCGAACGGGUGAGUAACACGUGGGUGACCUGCCCUCAGCUCUGGGAUAAGCCUGGGAAACCGGGGUCUAAUACUGGAUAUGACUCCAUGACGCAUGUUGUGGGGUGGAAAGCCUUGUGCGGCUGAGGAUGGGCCCGCGGCCUAUCAGCUUGUU